rnacentral:rRNA from 1 species
UACGGGGGGGGCAAGCGUUGUUCGGAUUCAUUGGGCGUAAAGGGUGCGUAGGUGGCGCGGUAAGUCGGGUGUGAAAUUUCGGAGCUUAACUCCGAAACUGCAUUCGAUACUGCCGUGCUUGAGGACUGGAGAGGAGACUGGAAUUUACGGUGUAGCAGUGAAAUGCGUAGAGAUCGUAAGGAAGACCAGUGGCGAAGGCGGGUCUCUGGACAGUUCCUGACACUGAGGCACGAAGGCCAGGGGAGCAAACGGG